rnacentral:rRNA from 1 species
GUCAAGUGAAUAAGCGCACAUGGUGGAUGCCUUGGCGAUAAGAGGCGAUGAAGGGCGUAGAAGUCUGCGAUAAGCGUAGGUUAGCUGACAAACGAGCUAUAACCCUGCGAUUCCCGAAUGGGGCAACCCACUUACCUUUGGUAAGUAUCCUUAAGUGAAUACAUAGCUUAAGGAGGCGAACCCGGCGAACUGAAACAUC